UACGGAGGAUGCAAGCGUUAUCCGGAAUGAUUGGGCGUAAAGCGUCCGCAGGUGGCAAUGUAAGUCUGCUGUUAAAGAGUCUAGCUCAACUAGAUAAAAGCAGUGGAAACUACAUAGCUAGAGUACGUUCGGGGCAGAGGGAAUUCCUGGUGUAGCGGUGAAAUGCGUAGAGAUCAGGAAGAACACCAGUGGCGAAGGCGCUCUGCUAGGCCGUAACUGACACUGAGGGACGAAAGCUAGGGGAGCGAAUGGG
rnacentral:rRNA from 1 species